GAAUUGACGGCGGCGGUAGACAGGAACAACUUCUAUUUUGACAACCGGAAGUUGAAGUGAUCGCCACGGGUUCCUUGAUUUCGCUUCUAGUGGGUACCGACGAAACAGGAAAAUCCUCUCGUUUCCUUUUUCCGCCACGUUUCCAGUACUCCAAAUAAUCCCAAGCUGCUCGUUUCCACGGCAACGCAAAGGGUGGCUUCCCUUAUUCUACCCCAAAACGACGAACGAAGCAGAAACUGGCGCUGAGCCGGCUACGCUGAUAAAUUCAACCUUGAACCUUCAAUUACUACUGGAAAUUCUGGAGGAACUGAGGGCCAAUUUCCAACAUUUUCACCCGGGAUUCCUGGAGCAAACUAUAUCAGUGAUGGGAUCUUUUUUCGAAGACAAGUUACUUUGUGGAAGUUUUUAGAAGUAUUACGAUUUAUUUUUCAAGUCUGCACAUUUGUUGCUUUCAGAAGACUAUAACGAUUUCAAAAGUAAUUUUAAGGUUAUAAUGAACUGUAUUAUUCAUUAAAAACACUUGUAGA